rnacentral:rRNA from 1 species
UACGAAGGGGGCUAGCGUUGCUCGGAAUUACUGGGCGUAAAGCGCACGUAGGCGGCUUUCUAAGUCGGGGGUGGAAAUCCUGGAGCUCAACUCCAGAACUGCCUUCGAUACUGGAGAGCUUGAGUCCGGGAGAGGUGAGUGGAACUGCGAGUGUAGAGGUGAAAUUCGUAGAUAUUCGCAAGAACACCAGUGGCGAAGGCGGCUCACUGGCCCGGUACUGACGCUGAGGUGCGAAAGCGUGGGGAGCAAACAGG